rnacentral:misc_RNA from 1 species
AAGUCGUAACAAGGUCUCCGUUGGUGAACCAGCGGAGGGAUCAUUACCGAGUACUAUAACUCAUAACCCUUUGUGAACCUUCAUACCUGUUGCUUCGGCGGCGCGCCUCUAGGGGCGUGCCCGCCGGCAUUAUCAGAAUCUCUGUUCGAACCCGACGAUACUUCUGAGUGUUCUAAGCGAACUGUUAAAACUUUCAACAACGGAUCUCUUGGCUCCA